rnacentral:rRNA from 1 species
AUACGGAGGGUGCAAGCGUUAUUCGGAAUUACUGGGCGUAAAGCGCGUGUAGGCGGCCCUGCAAGUCUGAUGUGAAAGCCCCGGGCUUAACCCGGGAAGUGCGUUGGAAACUGCAGGUCUUGAGUACUGGAGAGGAUGGGGGAAUUCCCGGUGUAGAGGUGAAAUUCGUAGAGAUCGGGAGGAAUAUCAGUGGCGAAGGUGCCCAUCUGGACGGUAACUGACGCUGAGACGCGAAAGCGUGGGGAGC